CUUGAGAGCGGCGGACGGGUGAGUAAUGCCUAGGAAUCUGCCUGGUAGUGGGGGAUAACGUUCGGAAACGGACGCUAAUACCGCAUACGUCCUACGGGAGAAAGCAGGGGACCUUCGGGCCUUGCGCUAUCAGAUGAGCCUAGGUCGGAUUAGCUAGUUGGUGGGGUAAUGGCUCACCAAGGCGACGAUCCGUAACUGGUCUGAGAGGAUGAUCAGUCACACUGGAACUGAGACACGGUCCAGACUCCUACGGGAGGCAGCAGUGGGGAAUAUUGGACAAUGGGCGAAAGCCUGAUCCAGCCAUGCCGCGUGUGUGAAGAAGGUCUUCGGAUUGUAAAGCACUUUAAGUUGGGAGGAAGGGUUGUAGAUUAAUACUCUGCAAUUUUGACGUUACCGACAGAAUAAGCACCGGCUAACUCUGUGCCAGCAGCCGCGGUAAUACAGAGGGUGCAAGCGUUAAUCGGAAUUACUGGGCGUAAAGCGCGCGUAGGUGGUUAGUUAAGUUGGAUGUGAAAUCCCCGGGCUCAACCUGGGAACUGCAUUCAAAACUGACUGACUAGAGUAUGGUAGAGGGUGGUGGAAUUUCCUGUGUAGCGGUGAAAUGCGUAGAUAUAGGAAGGAACACCAGU
rnacentral:rRNA from 1 species